rnacentral:rRNA from 1 species
AUUGAACGCUGGCGGCAGGCCUAACACAUGCAAGUCGAACGAGUGGCGGACGGGUGAGUAAUGUCUGGGAAACUGCCCGAUGGAGGGGGAUAACUACUGGAAACGGUAGCUAAUACCGCAUACCAUCGGAUGUUCCCAAGUGGGACUAGGUAGGUUGUGAGGUAAAGGCUCACCAAGCCGACGAUCUCUAGCUGGACUGAGAGGAUGAACAGCCCAUCGGGUACGUAGACAAGGCCCAGACUCCUACGGGAGGCAGCAGUGGGGAAUAUUGGGAAAUGGGGGCAACCCUGACGCAGCCAUGCCGCGUGAAUGAAGAAGGCCUUAGGGUUGUAAAGUUCUUUCGGUAGCGAUGCGUUAACUACAGAAGAAGCACCGGCUAACUCCGUGCCAGCAGCCGCGGUAAUUC